UCCGGUUGAUCCUGCCGGGGAUCACUGCUAUUGGAGUUCGCUUAAGCCAUGCGAGUCGAGAGGGUUCGGCCCUCGGCAUACGGCUCAAUAACACGUGGAUAAUCUGCCCUGAGGUGGGGGAUAAUCUCGGGAAAUUGAGGAUAAUACCCCAUAGACCAAAAGUUCUGGAAUGCCUUUUGGUUCAAAGCUCCGGCGCCCCAGGAUGAGUCUGCGGCCUAUCAGGUUGUAGUGAGUGUAACGGACUCACUAGCCGACGACGGGUACGGGCAGUGGGAGCUGUCGCCCGGAGAUGGAUUCUGAGACACGAAUCCAGGCCCUACGGGGCGCAGCAGGCGCGAAAACUUCGCAAUGCGGGAAACCGCGACGAGGGAACUCCAAGUGCCAUGCAAUUUGUAUGGCUGUUUUCAUGUCUAAAAAACAUGGAGAGUAAGGGCUGGGUAAGACUGGUGCCAGCCGCCGCGGUAAUACCAGCAGCUCAAGUGGUGAUCCUUUUUAUUGGGCCUAAAGCGUCCGUAGCCGGUCUGGUAAAUCCUUGGGUAAAUCGUACGGCUUAACCGUACGAACUCUGGGGAGACUGCCAGACUUGGGACUGGGAGAGGUCGGAGGUACUCCAGGGGUAGGGGUGAAAUCCUGUAAUCCUUGGGGGACCACCAGUGGCGAAGGCGUCCGACUAGAACGGAUCCGACGGUGAGGGACGAAGCCCUGGGGCACAAACCGGAUUAGAUACCCGGGUAGUCCAGGGUGUAAACGCUGCGAGCUUGGUGUUGGGGGUCCUACGAGGGCGCCCAGUGCCGGAGAGAAGUUGUUAAGCUCGCCGCCUGGGGAGUACGAUCGCAAGAUUGAAACUUAAAGGAAUUGGCGGGGGAGCACCGCAACGGGUGGAGCGUGCGGUUCAAUUGGAUUCAACGCCGGAAAACUCACCGGAGGCGACUGUUACAUGAAAGUCAGGCUGAUGACCUUACUCGAUUUUCAGAGAGGUGGUGCAUGGCCGCCGUCAGUUCGUACCGCAAGGCGUUCUGUUAAGUCAGAUAACGAACGAGACCCCAUCCCUUAAUUGCCAAACUGGUCUUUGGAUCAGAGGAACAUUAAGGGAACCGCUGGCGUUAAGUCAGAGGAAGGUGGGGCAACGGUAGGUCAGUAUGCCCCGAAUCCUCCGGGCUACACGCGCGCUACAAAGGAUAGGACAAUGGGUUCCGACAUCGAGAGAUGAAGGCAAUCCCGAAACCUAUUCAUAGUCCGGAUCGAGGGCUGUAACCCGCCCUCGUGAAGCUGGAAUCCUUAGUAAUCGUGGGUCAACAUCCCACGGUGAAUAUGCCCCUGCUCCUUGCACACACCGCCCGUCAAACCAUCUGAGUAGGGUGAGGAUGAGGCUCCGUCUUUUUGGCGAGGUCGAAUCCUUGUUCUGCAAGGAGGGUUAAGUCGUAACAAGGUA
rnacentral:rRNA from 1 species